AAAGAAGCCAUAUUGGGUGGGCAAUAAAAUUUUCAAUGCGCUUCUCUCUACCAAAGCGAUUUUAUACAAUGGUCUUUAGGGUUAGUUCCUAUAUUUUUGUUCCAUUUAAUAACUUCUACCGCAUCGGGUUAGGGGGAGUCUCCGUUCCCUGUCCCAGAAAUGGGUUCUCCCUCUGCACCUCCGGGCGGGGUUGUAGUAUGCAUAAAUAAUAUAUUGUUUUUGUUGCAGAUAUGAAGAAAUGGUUAAAGCACUUUUUGAUCUACAUGGCCAUCUUUGGUCUGGAUUGUUUUCUGCUUGGGUCACUACAGCUUUUGGGAUACUAGGGGAGAUUUGGGGUGGCUUGUCGUCGGGUUUGAGGAUCUUAGCUCAACCUAGAAGGCACAAGAGAGAAGUCAAAGAGUCAGUCACCUCUCACCCCCGAUUUCUGGUGUUUUUCGGCAAGGUUUAGUACUGUCCAUGGCAUUGUGCUUCUUCUUUGUUCUUGGGUCAUAAUGGUUUGCUCAGCAAUUGAGGAGUAUGCUUGUGUGGGGAAUUCUUGUGUGGGGAAUUUUCCUCUGUAGGCAUUGGCCAAUUUUUGUUCCCUUGCACUCCAUUUUGCUGGAAACUUCCUUGGUUGGAUCCGCCUGUGAAUGGUUGGGCGGUGGCGGCAGUUCCUGUGCUUCGGGUCUCUCUUUUGCUAUAGGUCUCCCAAAUGGGCUGCAGGGAAAGGAUUUCUCUUUGUUUUCUGACCUUUUCUCUACCACUGGGCUAGGCAGCCAAUUAGGGCCUAUUUUGGUUACUCAUGUAGUGGUUCUAUUUGGGCUAAUGAAGUGUUGUA
rnacentral:misc_RNA from 1 species